UUUUUUUUUUUAAACAGUACUUGGUGUAUCUUGUCAAGACUUUGUGGUUUGUAGUUAAUAUAUUCUAGUAGUACAUGAUAUUUGGUGAGUCUGACAUGAGGCUCUGACCCUCUAGUGGAGGGGAGCGAUAGGGGUGAAUGGCAUCUAGUUCUGGACAUUCAUAAUCAGUUUUAAUAAGUUUUUGGCCAAUCUGUCUCUUUU